UCUCAGAGCUUGUUCUGCAUCUUCAAAGCAGAGAAAAGCCGCCCAUGGAAGGUAUCCUAUCAAAUAAUUCAGAGAUAUUCCACAGAAAUUCCAAUUUCCUGUCUGGAUAUGGAUGAGUUCUGAGGAGAAAAAGCGAGUUUUUCCUAAAAGGAAACCAAUUGGUGUGCACGUAGCCCAUGCUGUCUCACCAUUCUAGAGGCCUUGUACCUGGUGUGUGCAUAAUUAAGACUCCAUAGACCUAGGAGGUCCCAAAGAGAGUGAUUACAUCAGCACUGCCCCUGUAGACACGAGGAAGAGCUCUAUGGUCCUAAACUAAGGAGAUGUCCAGAUUAAUACAGAGGGCUCCCGUGUCUCCGGAGCACCUUCCACUGCCAGCAAGCCACAGCUGUGCGUUUGACAAGGCCAGCUGGCUCCCAGAAGGCAGAGUGUUCAGCAACGUUCAGAGAGAGAAGAUCAUCUCCAAGUUUCUCAAAGGAAGCCUCCUAAAGAGAGUGUUUGGCUCGCAGCAGCUGAGAUGGGAGAGCCCCAACUCCCAGAAAGAGGAUCCCAGCCCAGCAUGUCCUAGCACCAGAAAGUAAGUCCGUAUUGCAAAGUAGACCCAAACUCAAAGUAAGCUCAUCCCAGAUGGCCAGGAAAACACCUCUGUACCGGCAUCCAGAGAACCAGAAGGCUUAGGAGGAACCGCAAACCCAGGGGCCAGGUCCAGCGGUAAGAGCAAAAUUAAACAGGAAACACGUAACUGAGAACGUUUUCAAAGUACCACCUGUAACACCGGCAUAGGAUGUGGGAUUCACCGAUGUGUGUGCUUCUCUUAUUUGGGGAAAUGUUUUUAAAUACAUCACUGCCAUCCACGGUAGGAAUAAGUAGAUUUGAAACAAAAUUCCUUAUAUUUUUUGGAAUAAAAUGGUAGCUUCCCAAAUCAGAUAGUUUUGUUAAGGAAGCACACACUAAAGGUUAAUAUUGUUGUUUAUUUGUUUGUUUGUUUUGUUUUGUUUUUCCAGACAGGGUCUCACUAUGUGGCUCAGGCUGUCCUGGAACUCACUCUGUAGACCAGGCUGACCUCCAACAACACAGAUAUCCACCUGCCUCUGCCUCCCAAGUGCUGGGAUUAAAGGCAUGCAUCACUACUCCAGGCAAAGAUUGAGUUUUAAAAUAAAACUUUAAAAUAGAAAAUGAAAAAAGAAAUCCUUCAAAGUAAAAACAUUUAACUCAUGUUUCUUUAAAAGGAAUUAUUCAAACACAAGAAAGCUAGGAUACUCAUGAUUAAUGAUCAUAAAAAAACAAAACCUUAAGUUGGGAAGAAGAGAAUCAGCUACUAAUGAAAGGCACAGAUGGGGGAAGGGAUAAAAUCAAGUUAUUAAUCUAAAGCGUAUGCUAAGUAUCAUCUGUCUACCAGUGAGUGAUUUGAGAUGUUUCCCACUGAUCGAAUAUAUGUAUUUUUAAAGUAUUUGUUCACAUUUUUGUGUACAGGUGUUUUGCCUCCAAGCAUGUCCGGGCAUGCAUGCCUGGUGCCAAAGAAGAGGGCAUCAGAUCCCCUGGGACCGUAGUUAUAGACAGUUGUGAGCUGCCACGUGGGUGCUGGGAAUCAAACCUGGGUCCUUUGGAAAGGCAGCCAGUGUUCUUAACUGCUGAGCCAUCUCUCUAACCCCUGAUGGAGUAUCUCAUUUAAAUACCACAGAAAAGGCAUACUGUUAAUUAGAAAAUAUUGACCAACUUUGUGAAAAUGCUUACAUAAUCCUACUGAAGGAAAUUCUGAGGUCAUGCAGGUGAGUAUUGAAAUAUGAAAGGCAUUGAGAGAUAGGCAGAAAUGGAAAUCUUUUUCCCUGAAGAAUAACUAAGAAAUGAUGUUCUUGGCAUUUCUUUGUGUAACCCAGGGCAAUAAAGAGACACAUAAGUUGAGGUGCUUUCCACAAUAGUAUCUUUCUGUCAUCAUUGUCCUCUCUGCCACAAGAGGAGAAGCUAAGGUGGGCUCUGUGAACCCUCUUAAGUUCCUGGCCAAGCUAAGGUGGGCUCACUGAACCCUCUUAAGUUCCUGGCCAAGCUAAGGUGGGCUCACUGAACCCUCUUAAGUUCCUGGCCCAGGGUUUGUUCUCAUUUCCUCUGAUCCAAACCUUCUGGCUCAGUGGUUAAAAGCAUGCAUUGUUCUUAGAGGACCUCAGUUCUAGUCCCAGCGCCCACAUCAGGAAGCUCACAACAACCUGUAACUCCAACUACAGGGGACAGUCCUUUGACCUUCUCAGACACAUAAGUAAAUUAAUAACAAAACUUCUCUGCUGUAGUUUGUAGAAAAAAAAUGGUAAAUACUACCAGACAGAGAAUAUUCACCUUAUUCUAGUUCUGUUUUGAAAAAAAAAAAAUGGUUUCCCUCUGUAUUAGCUAAAGAGGAACAGA